GACGAACGCUGGCGGCGUGCUUAACACAUGCAAGUCGAACGGAAAGGCCCUGCUUUUGUGGGGUGCUCGAGUGGCGAACGGGUGAGUAACACGUGAGUAACCUGCCCUUGACUUUGGGAUAACUUCAGGAAACUGGGGCUAAUACCGGAUAGGAGCUCCUGCUGCAUGGUGGGGGUUGGAAAGUUUCGGCGGUUGGGGAUGGACUCGCGGCUUAUCAGCUUGUUGGUGGGGUAGUGGCUUACCAAGGCUUUGACGGGUAGCCGGCCUGAGAGGGUGACCGGCCACAUUGGGGCGGAGAUACGGCCAGGCCCCCUCGGGGAGGAAGCGGUGGGGAAUUUUGCCAAAGGGGCGGAGGCCUGAGGCAGCAACCCCGGGGGGGGGAUGACGGCCUUCGGGUUUAAAACCGUUUUCGCCGUGGACGAAGGUGGAGGGGCGGGAAUGGGUAAAAAAGCCCCGGUUAAAUAAGU
rnacentral:rRNA from 1 species